rnacentral:lncRNA from 1 species
CUGUCACUUAAAUCUUUGAGCUGUGUAGCCCACAAACUAUUGCUAGAAACCAAUGACGUUGUAAAGCAACUUUGAAUUGGGCUUCCAGGUGGUGCCUGUUAGAAGGGCCUAAGAGCAAGGCAUCAUGGGAGACCGGGCGCCAUGAAUGUCUCGCUGUCGACUGGGAGGUUGCAAAGCGGCUGCUGCUGUUUUCCUUCCAAUCCCGGAGCCAGCUGUCUGGCCCACAGCUCCAGAUAUAUCAAGAUUGAGACACAUUUCCAAGCACCAAGAGACUGCUGGGAUCUCUCUCUGAAUUGGUACCUAAGUACUUUGGCCACCUCAAGCGAAGAGUUGACUGAUUGGAAAAGACCCUGAUGCUGGGAGGGACUGGGAGCAGGAGGAGAAGAGGACGACAGAGGAUGAGAUGGCUGGAUGACAUCACUGACUCGAUGAACGUGAGUCUGAGGGAACUCUGGGAGUUGGUGAUGGACAGGGAGGCCUGGCGUGCUGCGAUUCAUGGGGUUGCAAAGAGUCGGAC